GAUGAACGCUGGCGGCGUGCCUAAUACAUACAAGUCGAACGCACAGCGAAAGGUGCUUGCACCUUUCAAGUGAGUGGCGAACGGGUGAGUAACACCUGGACAACCUGCCUCAAGGCUGGGGAUAACAUUUGGAAACAGAUGCUAAUACCGAAUAAAACUCAGUGUCGCAUGACACAAAGUUAAAAGGCGCUUUGGCGUCACCUAGAGAUGGAUACGCGGUGUAUUAGUUAGUUGGUGGGGUAAAGGCCUACCAAGACAAUGAUGCAUAGCCGAGAUGAGAGAAUGAUCCGCCACAUUGGGACUGAGACACGGCCCAAACUCCUACGGGAGGCUGCAGUAGGGAAUCUUCCACAAUGGGCGAAAGCCUGAUGGAGCAACGCCGCGUGUGUGAUGAAGGCUUUCGGGUCGUAAAGCACUGUUGUAUGGGAAGAACAGCUAGAAUAGGGAAUGAUUUUAGUUUGACGGUACCAUGCCAGAAAGGGACGGCUAAAUACGUGCCAGCCGCCGCCGUAA
rnacentral:rRNA from 1 species